UACGUAGGGUGCAAGCGUUAAUCGGAAUUACUGGGCGUAAAGCGUGCGCAGGCGGUUUCGCAAGUCAGAUGUGAAAUCCCCGGGCUCAACCUGGGAACUGCAUUUGAAACUACGAGGCUAGAGUGUGUCAGAGGGGGGUGGAAUUCCACGUGUAGCAGUGAAAUGCGUAGAGAUGUGGAGGAACACCAAUGGCGAAGGCAGCCCCCUGGGAUGACACUGACGCUCAUGCACGAAAGCGUGGGGAGCAAACAG
rnacentral:rRNA from 1 species